UUGACCAUCAUCUUCUUAGUCAGGUGAUAC
rnacentral:piRNA from 1 species